rnacentral:rRNA from 1 species
AGAGUUUGAUCCUGGCUCAGAAGGAACGCUGGCAGCGUGCAUAACACAUGCAAGUUGAACGGGAUUGUUAUCUUCGGGUAACAUGAGAGUAGCGAACGGGUGAGUAACACGUAAGAAUCUACCUUUAGGACGGGGAUAACUUCUGAAACGGAUGCUAAUACCCGAUAUGCUGUGGAGUGAAAGAUUUUUCGCCUAGGGAUGAGCUUGCGUCUGAUUAGCUAGAUAGGGUGGUAAUGGCACACUAUGGCGACGAUCAGUAGCUGGUCUGAGAGGAUGGACAGCCACAUUGGAACUGAGACACGGUCCAAACUCCUACGGGAGGCAGCAGUGGGGAAUUUUCCGCAAUGGGCGAAAGCCUGACGGAGCGACGCUGCGUGAAGGAUGACGGCCUGCGGGUUGUAAACUUCUUUUCUCGAAGAAGAAUCAAUGACGGUAUUCGAGGAAUAAGCAUCGGCUAACUCUGUGCCAGCAGCCGCGGUAAGACAGAGGAUGCAAGUGUUAUUCGGAUUGAUUGGGCGUAAAGCGUCUGUAGGCGGUUUAGAAAGUCUCUUGUGAAAUUCUUCAGCUCAACUGAGGGUCCGCAAAAGAAACUUCUAGGCUUGAGGGAAGUAGAGGUAUAGGGAAUUUCCGGUGGAGCGGUGAAAUGCGUAGAUAUCGGAAGGAACACCAAUAUGGCGAAGGCACUGUACUGGGCUUUUCCUGACGCUAAGAGACGAAAGCUAAAGGAGUGAUUAGGAUUAGAUACCCUAGUAAUUUUAGCCGUAAACGAUGGAAACUCACUGCCGAGCCGGUAUUCGGAGCGGUGGUCAAGCUAACGCGUGAAGUUUCCCGCCUGGGGAUUACGCAUGCAAAUGUGAAACUCAAAGGGAAUUGACGG